CCGUACACUUUAAAAUGGUUAUGAUGCUAAAUUUUAUGAUAUGCAUUUUUUACCACAAUAAAAAAAAUUUUUUUUUAAGAAACAAAAGAAGCCCUGCUGCUGAGGAAAGUAGUUUCUGGCUCCUCAAAAGGUAAACACGGCACUACCGUGAGCCCCAGCAGUUCUGUUCCCAGGUGUGUAUCUAAAAGAAUUGAAUACAGAAGUUCAUACAAAAACUGUACGUGAAUUUAUCACAUCGUUAUUCACAAUAGCCAAAAAGUGGAAACAACCAAACACUGCCAUAUAUACCAUAUGGUAUACCCAUAUGGUGCAAUAUUAUUCAGCCAUAAAAAAAGGAAGUGCGGAUGCAUGUUAUGACAUUGGAUGAACCUUGAAAACAUGAUGCUAAGUGUAAGAAGCCAGACACAAAAGACCACACAUGCUAUGAUGUCAUGUAUACGACAUGUCCAGAAUAAGCGAAUCCAAGGAGAAGAUUCCAUGCAGAUUACGUAUAGCAGAUUCCUGGUUGCCAAGGAGCCGGGCAGAAUAGGGAGUGACUGCUUACUGGGUCUGGGCUUUUGUUUUGGGAGGGAAGUAUUCUGAAAUUAGAUAGAAGUAAUGGUUGUGUAACAAAGUCAAUGUUAAAAGAGCCACCAAAUUAUAUUUUUAAGUGGUUAAAAUGGUGAAUUUUAUGAUGUGUGAAUGUUACCUCAGGUUAAAGAAAAAAAAAAAGAAGUCCUCAGGCACUAAAGGUUGGCAACCAUGGCUGUAAUCCAGCCCCCACAUUUUCAUAGCUGGGGAAGCAGAUGCACACUGAAAUGACUUUCUGGAGGGCCAUGGCUGCAGUACUCGAGGACAGCAGGACCACUCGGGGAGGUGAGGAGAGAGACAUUAGUUGGAUGCCAUCCACUGCCAACAGCAGAUGACCCCGGCGCAGAUGGGC